rnacentral:rRNA from 1 species
AUGCACGCUGGCGGCGUGCCUCAUACAUGCAAGUCGAGCGAACGGACGAGAAGCUUGCUUCUCUGAUGUUAGCGGCGGACGGGUGAGUAACACGUGGAUAACCUACCUAUAAGACUGGGAUAACUUCGGGAAACCGUAGCUAAUACCGGAUAAUAUUUUGAACCGCAUGGUUCAAAAGUGAAAGACGGUCUUGCUGUCACUUAUAGAUGGAUCCGCGCUGCAUUAGCUAGUUGGUAAGGUAACGGCUUACCAAGGCAACGAUGCAUAGCCGACCUGAGAGGGUGAUCGGCCACACUGGAACUGAGACACGGUCCAGACUCCUACGGGAGGCAGCAGUAGGGAAUCUUCCGCAAUGGGCGAAAGCCUGACGGAGCAACUCCGCGUGAGUGAUGAAGGUCUUCGGAUCGUAAAACUCUGUUAUUAGGGAAGAACAUAUGUGUAAGUAACUGUGCACAUCUUGACGGUACCUAAUCAGAAAGCCACGGCUAACUACGUG